AUUGAACGCUGGCGGCAGGCCUAACACAUGCAAGUCGAGCGGAUGAAGGGAGCUUGCUCCUGGAUUCAGCGGCGGACGGGUGAGUAAUGCCUAGGAAUCUGCCUGGUAGUGGGGGAUAACGUCCGGAAACGGGCGCUAAUACCGCAUACGUCCUGAGGGAGAAAGUGGGGGAUCUUCGGACCUCACGCUAUCAGAUGAGCCUAGGUCGGAUUAGCUAGUUGGUGGGGUAAAGGCCUACCAAGGCGACUAUCCGUAACUGGUCUGAGAGGAUGAUCAGUCACACUGGAACUGAGACACGGUCCAGACUCCUACGGGAGGCAGCAGUGGGGAAUAUUGGACAAUGGGCGAAAGCCUGAUCCAGCCAUGCCGCGUGUGUGAAGAAGGUCUUCGGAUUGUAAGGCACUUUAAGUUGGGAGGAAGGGCAGUAAGUUAAUACCUUGCUGUUUUGACGUUACCAACAGAAUAAGCACCGGCUAACUUCGUG
rnacentral:rRNA from 1 species